GAUGAACGCUGGCGGCGUGCCUAAUACAUGCAAGUCGAGCGAACAGAUGGGAAGCUUGCUUCUCUGAUGUUAGCGGCGGACGGGUGAGUAACACGUGGGUAACCUACCUAUAAGGCUGGGAUAACUCCGGGAAACCGGGGCUAAUACCGGAUAAUAUUUUGAACCGCAUGGUUCAAUAGUGAAAGACGGUUUCGGCUGUCACUUAUAGAUGGACCCGCGCCGUAUUAGCUAGUUGGUAAGGUAACGGCUUACCAAGGCGACGAUACGUAGCCGACCUGAGAGGGUGAUCGGCCACACUGGAACUGAGACACGGUCCAGACUCCUACGGGAGGCAGCAGUAGGGAAUCUUCCGCAAUGGGCGAAAGCCUGACGGAGCAACGCCGCGUGAGUGAUGAAGGUCUUCGGAUCGUAAAACUCUGUUGUUAGGGAAGAACAAAUUUGUUAGUAACUGAACAAGUCUUGACGGUACCUAACCAGAAAGCCACGGCUAACUACGUGCCAGCAGCCGCGGUAA
rnacentral:rRNA from 1 species